GAACUGUGAGUCCAUUAAACGUCUUCUUCUUUAUAAAUUACCCAGUCUCAGGAAACUCUCUGGACGGCGAAAACUUCUCAAAGUCCAUAACAUUUAUCUGACACCUCAACUGUGAAUUUACAUUUCAUUUGCAUCAGUCUCAUGUCUGCAACUAGGCUGUGGUGACCUUGAGAACGAGUGAAUCAAGAGCCUUGUCCAGCACUGGGAGCGGAGGUGGUUGGAAAUCCCGGACCCCCGGUCCACCAGCCUUGGCCUCCUGCAGAUGCUAGGCUCGGGAUGAAGUGCGGCCGAAGACUGCUGGGAAAAGAAAAGAAAGAGCCCUAAUAUGCCAUAUCGGGCAAGCCGUGGGGUGGCCCACUAACUGCUUUUUUAUGAUUGUCACUUACUGGCUCUGAUUUAGCCCCACUUAAAGAGUGGUGGCAGCAAUUGUGGAGGGCCUCAAAGGGAGACUGAUGCAAGUGAGGGCAAAGUAUUAUUGGGAACGAGGUCAAAUAGGUGAUGAAUGGGCCGUUAUGAGGAGGGGCAAACUGACAUCGUUAGGGAUGCUGCAACAAGCUGGACGUUGAUCUAUUGUCCGCUCUGAGAUCUCCAACAGGCCAUUAUGGCUCCCCUAAUGAGAUUGUCAUGCAUUUCUUUUUAUGUAGCUAUUAAAAUCUUGUCUACAUCUGCUGAAGUUUUCCUGGGGAAGGGCUCGAAGGGGCAGCCAAGGGAAAGACGCUCGAUAUUUUCCUCUCUUCCGCAGGCUCACAUGAUAUUCCAGAAAGGGCUCAGGUGUGACCCAACGGCUGGCAACAAACCUCCGGAGGGUGGCAGCAGAGGGUGGGGAGGGGCCUGGGUUUGGAGGAACAUGGGAGAGCAGGGUUCAGGAGAAACCUUCACAAAGGACACUCCUGAUCAAAGGGCCUGCUUGGAAUGGCCAACAGAGUGCUGCUUGUCCCAUCACGUCUUUCUAACCCCAGAUGGCGAAUAACAUGCUCUGUGAUUCUCAUUCACUCAA